rnacentral:rRNA from 1 species
CCUACGGGAGGCAGCAGUGAGGAAUAUUGGUCAAUGGACGAGAGUCUGAACCAGCCAAGUAGCGUGAAGGAUGACUGCCCUAUGGGUUGUAAACUUCUUUUAUAUGGGAAUAAAAUGUUCCACGUGUGGGAUUUUGUAUGUACCAUAUGAAUAAGGAUCGGCUAACUCCGUGCCAGCAGCCGCGGUAAUACGGAGGAUCCGAGCGUUAUCCGGAUUUAUUGGGUUUAAGGGGAGCGUAGGUGGAUUGUUAAGUCAGUUGUGAAAGUUUGCGGCUCAACCGUAAAAUUGCAGUUGAAACUGGCAGUCUUGAGUACAGUAGAGGUAGGCGGAAUUCGUGGUGUAGCGGUGAAAUGCUUAGAUAUCACGAAGAACUCCGAUUGCGAAGGCAGUUCACUGGACUGCAACUGACACUGAGGCUCGAAAGUGUGGGUAUCAAACAGGAUUAGAUACCCUAGUAGUC